GAUACUAAAUUCUGGACGGCUUAAUGGACUGGUGACAAUGAUCGUAACGUGUUUGAGGUGUAGACACAUUCAAAGAAGGUUGGUGUUAAUCUUGGAAGGCAUACUUGUACCUGCAAUAUGUGGCAAUUGACAGUUAAUUCUUUUGUAGGAAUACCAUGUGUUCAUGCAUUAGCAGCUAUUCAAAAGAGGUGUGAUAGGCCAGAACUAUAUGUGCAUCCUUGGCUAAAGAUGGAUGCAUUUAGAGCAACCUAUGAGCAUGUCAUGAAACCUGUCAACUCAAAAGAGUAUUGGGUGAAGACUGGACUACUAUCUCCAGAGCCACCCAUCAUUAGGAGACCUGCAGGCUGCCCCACGAAGAAAAAAAGGAAGGCGGACCCUGUUGAAGACGCGCGUGAUGGAACAAAAGGACGACGAACAUUCAAGGUUACCUGUCAAAAAUGUGGCGAAUCUGGCCACAAUGCAAAAACAUGCAAGGGACCACCAAGGCCUAAACCCCCACCAAAGAAUAAAGGUAAAAAAAAAAGGGUAAUGAAAAUGGAUCCACCAUUGCAGCAGGGUCACAGGAAGAAGUACAAAUAACCCUAUCAGCCCCUUAACCACAGCCACAGGAGCAAACUACUAACUCAUCCAACCAAGUUGCAUCAACAAUAAGUUUUAGGCCUCCAAGACCCAAACAACAAAUUCUGAGACCUCAUGUAGCUCCGGUCACUGCCCCAACACCUCCUAUAAAGCUUGUUUUGGCUCCAAGACCUUUACCUCCACCAACUUUAACUCUUCCACCUACAGCCCCAUUUGCUCCAGUGCCUAGGUCACUCCAUCCGAAUCAGAUACCAAGAAUCUCUCCGGUUGCUGCUACAAGCUCUGGAACUGCUGCCAGAAUAUUCAAGUUCAUGCCUACACCAGGACUCAACCUCCAAAAGAAGAAAUGAUAUUGCUCUAUGAUAUCAUGCUGAUUGUAGUUAUGUUGUUUAGUUUAUUAAGACCCUUUUGUAACAGAUUAUGGUUAUGUAGUGCAUUUAUGCAACUUUGAGCUAUGCUUUUGGAAUGUAUCUUUGAUGCUAGCAACAGAUAUAAACUAGCUAGGAGUAAGUUUUUUGUUGGAAUAUUUAGAACUUUGAUGCUUGAUUUCAAAUAUAUGAAAUUAUGGUUAUUAGACUAUUUUGAUAA